UGAAAACCUCGUUUUUCCUAUUUGACGAUUUCUUUGUAAGUUUUUCCCCAGAUGGCUUCAUGGUUGAAUCGUCACAAAUUAACCAGCCAGGCUUAGCAUCUCCGAAGACAUCUAACUGCCAAAAUGUAGAUGUCCAAGACAAGCUUAAGAUGUUGGAGCUGCACUGUCCAGCACAAGUGGGACUUACAUCUCCUAAGACUAAGAGAUCUACUCGUCAACAAGUGUAGAUGUCCAAG